rnacentral:rRNA from 1 species
AUUGAACGCUGGCGGCAGGCCUAACACAUGCAAGUCGAGCGGAUGACGGUAGCUUGCUCCUGGUUUCAGCGGCGGACGGGUGCGUAAUGCCUAGGAAUCUGCCUGGUAGUGGGGGAUAACGUCCGGAAACGGGCGCUAAUACCGCAUACGUCCUGAGGGCGAACGUGGGGGUUCUUCGGACCUCACGCUAUCCGAUGAGUCUAGGUCGGAUUAGCUAGUUGGGGGGGUAAAGGCCUACCAAGGCGACGGUCCGUAACUGGUCUGAGAGGAUGAUCAGUCACACGGGAACGGAGACACGCUCCGGACCCCUACGGGAGGAAGCAGGGGGGAAUAUUGGACAAGGGGCGAAAGCCUAAGCCAGCCAUGCCGCUUGUGUGAAGAAGGUCUUCGGAUGGUAAAGCACUUUAAGUGGGGAGGAAGGGCAGUAAGUUAAUACCUUGCUGUUUUGACGUUACCAACAGAAUAAGCACCGGCUAACUUCGUG